CAAAAAAUCCGGGAUCACUUACGCCGAGCACCGAGACGAGUCCUAUGAGGACGAAGUGACUGACACCACGCUUCCAGGAAAAGCCACUAAGCUUCAGCUUAAGAAAAACCGUACCGCAAACCGACACAGGUAGGCAGGGUGAGAAUCCCAAGGCGCUUGAGAGAACUCGGGUGAAGGAACUAGGCAAAAUGGCACCGUAACUUCGGGAGAAGGUGCGCCCUUUGGUGUGGUCACGUGCGUGACUGAGCAUUGAAGGGUCGCAGUAACCUGGCCGCUGCGACUGUUUAUCAAAAACACAGCACUCUGCAAACACGAAAGUGGACGUAUAGGGUGUGACGCCUGCCCGGUGCUGGAAGGUUAAUUGAUGGGGUCAGCCGCAAGGCGAAGCUCUUGAUCGAAGCCCCAGUAAACGGCGGCCGUAACUAUAACGGUCCUAAGGUAGCGAAAUUCCUUGUCGGGUAAGUUCCGACCUGCACGAAUGGCGUAACGACAGCGGCGCUGUCUCCACCCGAGACUCAGUGAAAUUGAAAUCGCUGUGAAGAUGCAGCGUUCCCGCGGCAAGACGGAAAGACCCCGUGAACCUUUACUAUAGCUUUACACUGAACGUUGAGUUCUUCUGUGUAGGAUAGGUGGGAGGCUAUGAAACCAGGACGCUAGUUCUGGUGGAGCCAUCCUUGAAAUACCACCCUGAAGUGCUUGACGUUCUAACCUAGGCCCGUAAUCCGGGUCAGGGACCGUGUAUGGUGGGUAGUUUGACUGGGGCGGUCUCCUCCCAAAGAGUAACGGAGGAGCACGAAGGUACGCUCAGCGCGGUCGGACAUCGCGCACUGUGUGCAAAGGCAUAAGCGUGCUUGACUGCGAGAUCGACGGAUCAAGCAGGUACGAAAGUAGGUCUUAGUGAUCCGGUGGUUCUGUAUGGAAGGGCCAUCGCUCAACGGAUAAAAGGUACUCCGGGGAUAACAGGCUGAUACCGCCCAAGAGUUCAUAUCGACGGCGGUGUUUGGCACCUCGAUGUCGGCUCAUCACAUCCUGGGGCUGUAGCCGGUCCCAAGGGUAUGGCUGUUCGCCAUUUAAAGUGGUACGCGAGCUGGGUUCAGAACGUCGUGAGACAGUUCGGUCCCUAUCUGUCGUGGGCGUUGGAGAUUUGAGGGGGGCUGCUCCUAGUACGAGAGGACCGGAGUGGACGUUCCGCUGGUGUUCGGGUUGUCAUGCCCAUGGCAUUGCCCGGUAGCUACGAACGGAAGUGAUAACCGCUGAAAGCAUCUAAGCGGGAAGCACGCCCCAAGAUGAGAUCUCCCGAGAGCUUGACUCUCCUAAAGGCACCAUCAAGACUAGGUGGUUGAUAGGUCAGGUGUGGAAGCGCAGCAAUGCGUUGAGCUAACUGAUACUAAUGAGCCGUGAGGCUUGACCAA
rnacentral:rRNA from 1 species